rnacentral:rRNA from 1 species
UACGUAGGGGGCGAGCGUUGUCCGGAUUUAUUGGGCGUAAAGAGCGUGUAGGCGGCCAGGUAGGUCCGUUGUGAAAACUCGAGGCUCAACCUCGAGACGUCGAUGGAAACCAUCUGGCUAGAGUCCGGAAGAGGAGAGUGGAAUUCCUGGUGUAGCGGUGAAAUGCGCAGAUAUCAGGAGGAACACCGGUGGCGAAGGCGGGUCUCUGGGCCGAUACUGACGCUGAGGAGCGAAAGCAUGGGUAGCGAACAGG